UUAAUCGGAAUUACUGGGCGUAAAGCGUGCGCAGGCGGUUUUGUAAGCCAGAUGUGAAAUCCCCGGGCUUAACCUGGGAAUGGCAUUUGGGACUGCAAGGCUGGAGUGUGGCAGAGGAGACUGGAAUUCCCGGUGUAGCAGUGAAAUGCGUAGAUAUCGGGAGGAAUACCGAUGGCGAAGGCAGGUCUCUGGGCUGACACUGACGCUCAUGCACGAAAGCGUGGGGAGCAAACAGG
rnacentral:rRNA from 1 species